rnacentral:tRNA from 1 species
UCCGGGAUAGUUCAGCGGUAGAACAUCCGGCUCCAGUCUGGAUAGGCGCUGGUUCGACUCCAGCUCCCGGAUCCC